GACGAACGCUGGCGGCGUGCUUAACACAUGCAAGUCGAGCGGUAAGGCCCUUUCGGGGGUACACGAGCGGCGAACGGGUGAGUAACACGUGGGUGACCUGCCCUCAGCUCUGGGAUAAGCCUGGGAAACUGGGUCUAAUACUGGAUAUGACUCCACGGUGCAUGUCGUGGGGUGGAAAGCCUUGUGCGGCUGAGGAUGGGCCCGCGGCCUAUCAGCUUGUUGGGGGGGUGA
rnacentral:rRNA from 1 species